rnacentral:rRNA from 1 species
AUCCCUGAAAACCGGUCUCAGUUCGGAUCGCAGUCUGCAACUCGACUGCGUGAAGGUGGAGUCGCUAGUAAUCGCGGAUCAGCAACGCCGCGGUGAAUGCGUUCCCGGGCCUUGUACACACCGCCCGUCAAGUCAUGAAAGUGGGCAGCACCCGAAGACGGUGGCCUAACCCUUGUGGGGGGAGCCGUCUAAGGUGAGGCUCGUGAUUGGGACUAAGUCGUAACAAGGUACC